rnacentral:lncRNA from 1 species
GCCCCUGGCUCUCUGACCCUGUGAGGACUUGAGUGAAGGUUACGAGUCUUCACACUGCCUGCUGACAGUACUAGGAGCGGGGAUUUGAGAUCUUCACUUCAGUGUGUCCUUUUGACAGUAAAUCCAUUGCUCACCUCUCAAAUCUGGGAUUGGCCCCAAUCAAUCAGCCACUCUGCAGUCACCACCAGGGGCUCUCUGGAAGACACCAGGAGAGAUGAGUCCCCCAACUCCACAGGCUGUCAUCAGCCACCAGCAACCUCCGUCUCAGAGAAGAGCAGGAAGAGGGGAGACAUUUCCAAAAGACCCAGCAUUUUACCUUACAAGACUGAGCGUAUCCUAAAGGUGACACCGACAUGAUUCUGUCAGGCUGAAUUCACUGAGCCCAGUUAAGGAAUCUGAAGAUGAAAAAGAUGAGGGGACAUUCCCAAAGUCGCACAGCCCUCAAGCCAGUGCGAAAAUGUGGACCCCGCUGCCUUGUCUGGUGCCCAUUUCUGGAGAGAGAAAAGCACCGCUGGGUCGUGGGGGAGACUGGCCGGUGGCAGCUUCUGGCAUCUCACCUGUCUCUGCACGGGUUAAGAGCAUGGGAUGUAAUGAAAUGAAUCGUCUGUUGGAGGCUAUUCAUUAAUUCCUCCCUGCCUCUCCCUGUGAGACCUGUAAGUCCAUGGGUAGGAAGGACGGGCCUUCUUAGAGUAAGAAGCGUCUCCCCCUGUCUUCGCCUCCCGUCCCUUCUCUUCCCUCCUUCCUUGCCCCCCAACCCCGCCACCUUCUUCCUUCCCUUCCUUCCAGUAUUCAUUGCUUAACUGCACUGUGACAGGAAAUGUUACUGGGGGCCAAUUAAUGAAAAAAAGUCAAGCUUUUAAAGAAUUAAAGUUAGUGUUAUUCAGAGAUCUUAGGCUGAGGCCAGGUGUGGUGGCUCAAGCCUGUAAUCCCAACACUUUGGGAGGCCAAAGCAGGUGGAUCCUUUGAGGCCAGGAGAUUGAAAUCAGCCUGGGCAAUAUGGUGAAACCGCAACUCUACAAAAAAUACAAAAAUUGUCUGGGCAUGGUGGUGCAUGCCUGUAGUCCCAGCUACUCAGGAGGCCGAGGUGGGGGGAUUGCUUGAGCCCAGGAGUUCAAGGGUGCAGUGAGCUGUGAUUGUGCCACUGCACUCCAGCCUGGGUGACAGAGUGAAACCCUAUCUCAAAACCACCCCCCAAAAAACCCAAAACCAAAAAACAAAGGUGUUAGGCCAAGCAUGGUGGCUUACAUCUGUAAUCCCAGCACUUUGGGAGGCUGAGGCAGGAGGAUCACUUGAGCCCAGGAGUUCAAGACUAGCCUGGGCAACAUAGCAAGACCC